AGUACCUGAAGAGAAAAUUAUCAUCUGCUGGCAGGAAUGUUGUAAGUCUUUCUUCCUCUUCCGUUAAUCAUUGAGUCAUUUGUAUGGUAGCUACACUGUAAUCCUACACCUUUUUUACAACGUAAAUUUACCCAUAUCUACAUUGUAAUCCGAUGCCCCUUCUUUACACAGUAAUUCGACUGAUAGUUACUGUGUAAUUUGUAUGUUAGUUACAUUGUAACCCUUACUCCUCUUUUUACAGUGAAAAUUUACCCAUAUCUACACUGUAAUCCGAUGACUUUUUUUUACUCAGUAAUUUACCCAUAUCAUGUGUAAUUUUGUAUGGUAGUUAGGCUGUAAUCCUACACCUUUCUUACAGUGUAAAUUUACCCAUAUCUACACUGUAAUUUGAAUGCCUUUUUUUACACAGUAAUUUGAUGAUAAUUACGGUGUAAUUUUGUAUGGUGUUGCACUUUAAUCCUACACCUCUUUUACAGUGUAAAUUUACCCAUAUCUGCUUCUGAGUUUCAGCUGAAAAGGAAAUUCAUCCCCUUAACUCUGACCCCUAUGUUCCUCAAGUAAAUCGUUAUUCGGUUUCUGCUCAAGAAAGGUGUCACCAUCUUGCCAUGAUUCAGAUUGCAAGUCAUCCAGAAUGGUGCACAUAAGUUUUGUUCCGUUUCUUUUGUUCUAACCUCUUCAGUGUAUGAAGCAAUUCGAUAUGAAAGAGCUUUACUGCAUUUACCGUAAUCUUUCUUCUCUCCAGUUCAAAGCCCGUGUAGACAAUUUCUUGAUCUUGUGUGUGUGUGUCGUUAUCUAUUCAAUGAAGCUCACCCUUCCAUUUCUAAGAAGCAUUUCUUCUUCUCAUAUAUUGGUGUAAGUUGUUCUUCUGCUACUUUCUUGUAUAUAUUUUUGUGUCUUCUAUAGUUGUUUGUGAAUUUUAUUCCUUUUAAUGUAAGGUGUCUUACUUCGGUCUUCAUUUCUCUCACAUAGGAAACGAUUUUGAAUGGUUCUAAUGAAGAGUGUGUUGCUAAUGCUUUCAAUAGUGCUAAUAGUGCUUUUCCCAUGUGGAGAAGCAAUAUGGUGGUCUAGCGUGAAGAUUUUCUUGGUGGUCAACAAGACUGGAGAUUCAUCCAUCCUUUAUUAGCUUCGUAUAGUUUUCAUGAUGUGUUAGCUAUUUUGAUACAACAGUAUUAUUGGUCCAAGAAUGUUCUGAUUCAAUGUACUUUUUAGGCCGAUGACUUGUAUCAUCGCCCCUGUAACAGUUUUAGGUUCCUUUUGUUACUGGGAUGCUUUUCUGGUGCAUUAUUAGCUAUUUUUACCUGAAUGGUUU
rnacentral:lncRNA from 1 species